GGAGUUGGCUCCGCCGCCACCUCCAGAGCCUGUCCUGCUGCCGGGUGCUGCCGGGAGGAUGCGGCCGGAGCCCGGAGGCUGCUGCUGCCGCCGCCCGAUGCGGGCGAACGGCUGCGUCAAGAACGGGGAAGUGAGGAACGGGUACUUGAGGAGCAGCACCGCCACCGUCGCGGCUGCCGGCCAGGUACGAUGGGAUCGAGAGGCUGGGCGAGAUCGGGGCGGUGGGCCGGGACCCCCGCGAGCCGAUGCCCGGGCUGGGCCGGGCCGGGCCGGGGAGGACGGGCAGCCGCGCGGGCCGGUCAGUGGCCGGCUGGCGGCUGGGCGCGGCUCAGGUGUGCUGAGCGACGGGGAGCCGGCGCUGGCUGGGCCUCCCCCCUGAGCGGGAGGGAGACUCAAGGGCAGCGCGGGACUCUACAACUAUGUGGGGCUCCCUCACCGUGAGGGGCUCCUCGGUUCUGCCCGCUUCUCCAGUUAUUCGAGCCUUCCCAGUACUACCCGGCUCCGCAGCGAUGAGCUGUGGUUCUCUGCCCUGCGGGGGUCCCAAGGUUUACCUGGUUUCUUAGGUGUGCGGUGUCCCCUAGUUCUGCCUGGCUCUCCAGCCUCCCGGGGCUCCUCAGCCACGCGGGACUCCUGAGGUCUGCCCGGCUCCUCAGCAUUUGCUGUUCUGAAGGGCCCUGGAGGCUGGGCUUCCUCUGCAAGUCUCUGGUUCUUAACCAUGUGGAUCACGC
rnacentral:lncRNA from 1 species